UAUUUUCUAACCAUUUGAAAAUACAUUAAAAAAAUAUUUACUUAAAUAACACUAAGAUAGUAACAAAAUUAACAAUAAAAUAAGAGUUAUAUAAUAUCUAAACAAUAACAACAAAAUAGUAACAAUAUAAUAGCAAAAUGGUAACAAAACAACAUAAAAAAAGUGGCAAAUUCUGGUCGAGCUCGUGCCAAAAAAUCUUAUCCGAAACUCGACCAAUUUAGAAAGCAUGCCUUAUUUUUUGUCCAAGCCCAUUUAUCUGGGCCUAUAUUUUUACCCAAAUACUCACAUUUUUCGAGUUGGCCUGCGAGUAGCCCACCUAGCCCAUGAUGAGGUCUAAUCUUGACUCUCCACUCAAUAAGAUACCUCAUCAAGCACUUGUUUUUUAGAUACGAGCACUUCUCUAAGUGUGAACAUGCCUCUAACGAUGAGUGGGCCUCACCAAAGAAUAACAACAACAUUGUAUUGCAUAUGAUCACUAUGUCUGCUCCUCACGUACACUAAACCACUACAUGAUAAGAUGACUUUCUUAUAAAUAUCUUCCCAACAAUGAAUAAAGGAUAAAACUUUUUGAGGCCUAAACUUACUCUGAGUAAUUUCUCUCUUCUAGCAAUCAACUUGUCCUCUUGUUCAUUUUCGACUCUCCGUCUAUUUAGGUGAAUCGGUCUUCUUAACGCCAUACCUUUUCUUCAUUGCCUUUUCCCUUAUUAUACACUAAAUCAACAUUUGAAAAUUAUUUUUUUAUGAAUUUUACAUAAAAUAUAGAGUAAACUACUAAAAUAGUCACUUUUGUCUGCCUCAAGUUACAGUUUAGUCACUUAUGUUAUCAUGUCGUAACAUUUGAAAUUAAAACUUUCAAAAAUAAUUAACAUGUUUCUAUAACUUUUCACAAUAUAUCCUUAAAAUAUUAUAAUCAUAAUAAUUAGGGCCUGCGAGACCCGAUACAUACUCAUGCAAUUUAAUGCUUCAUUUCCAUUUCAUUCAAUUCGCAAUUUCUCAUGCUCAUAAUUUAAAUCAUAUCACUAAAAAUUUCCAUUUAAUUCACGUACAAUUCAAUGACAUCAAAUUCAAAACUAAUACGUAUUUACCAUUUAACUCAAUGUUUAUUGAUUAUACCAUUCAAUAACACAUUUAUGAAAUUCUCAAUUUAGCAAUGAAAAUAUCACUUUAGUUUGAAUAACAACAUCGUCCUGAUAUAAAUACACUACCACUUAUCCAUUUACUUUAAUUCUUUUGGGCCCAUUUGUCACUUACCAUCUUUAAUCAAAUUAGGGAACGGUCACGGAAAAUUGAGUACUUCACUUUCACUUUGCCAUAGUAUAACUAUGGUCUUACGUAUGAUCACUUAUCACUUGUCCCUGAUCAGAUAAGUGUAGCCACCUAUCACUUUGUUUCUUGAUCAGAUAAGUGUAGCCACUUAUCACUUUGUCUCUUGAUCAGAUAAGUGUAGCUAAAGCUAUCACAUAUCACUUUGUCUCUUGAUCAGAUAAGUAUAGCCGAAGCUAUCACUUAUCACUUUAUCACUUGAUCAGAUAAGUAUAGCCGAAGCUACUACUUAUCACUUUCCACUUGUCACUUGAUCAGAUAAGUAUAGCUGAAGCUAUCACUUAUCACUUUGUCACUUGAUCAGAUAAGUGUAGCCACUUAUCACUUUGUCUCUUGAUCAGAUAAGUAUAGCUAAAGCUAUCACUUAUCACUUUGUCUCUUGAUCAGAUAAGUAUAGCCGAAGCUAUCACUUAUCACUUUUCACUUGUCACUUGAUCAGAUAAGUGUAGCCGAAGCUAUCACUUAUCACUUUCCACUUGUCACUUGAUCAGAUAAGUGUAGCUGAAGCUAUCACUUAUCACUUUGUCACUUGAUCAGAUAAGUAUAGCCGAAGCUAUCACUUAUCACUUUAUCACUUGAUCAGAUAAGUAUAGCCGAAGCUAUUACUUAUCACUUUCCACUUGUCACUUGAUCAGAUAAGUGUAGCUAAAGCUACCACUUAUCACUUUAUCACUUGAUCAGAAGUACUCAAAUCCGGCGUUCCGCUCAAUUUGAUCAUUUAUUCAUAUAUCAGGCUUACCAACAUGUGUUAAUUCAUAAACCAUUCAUGGUAUUAUUUCAUGCCAAAUCAUAUACUGAAUAUACCAUACACACAUACUAUGAAACUUUAUUUUCACACAUGAGCUUAAACCAUGACCAAUAAUGCACAAAAAUAAGCAUCAUUCAUAUUUCAUCGUUUAUGAGUUAUAAUCAAACAUAUGACCAUUUAUACACGAAUCAUUCAUAUAUUUCCCAAUUUUCCUCCUCCUCCUCUCCAUUCCACAUCCUUAAUGUGUAUAACACACUUAAACAACAUUAACCAUAAUUUCAAUAUUCGCUAACAUGUAUAUUCAAAGCUGUUUAUCCGAGUCAGAGUAACUAAAUUAUUUUUAUCCGGAGCUACAGAGCUCCAAAUUAAGAUCCGUUAAUUUUCCCUGAAACUAGACUCACAUAUCUUCAUACCAUAAAAUUUUCAUAAUUUUUGGUUCAGCCAAAUAGUACAGUUUAUUCUUUAAAGUUUCCCCUGUUUCGCUGUCUGACAGUUCCGACCACUCUUCACUAAAAAUUAAUUAUCUCAUUGUACAGAAUUCGGAUGAUAAUUUCUGUACAAUUUUUAAUGAUUUUCCAAAGUCAGAACAGGGGAACCCGAAUUCAUUCUGACCUUGUCUCACAAAAUCUAUUAUAUCUCAUGAUUUACAAUUCCAUUGCUCACAUCAUUUCUUUUAUAAGAAACUAGACUCAAUAAGCUUUAAUUUCAUAUUUUAUUCAUCCUCUAAUUCAAUCUCUACAAUUUUUGGUGAUUUUUCAAAGUUACACUACUGCUGCUGUCCAAAACUGCUUUAGUGCAAAAUGUUGAUUUCCAUUUUGCCCCAAAUUUCACAGUUUAUACAAUUCGGUCCUUUCUCAAUUAACCCCUGAAUUAAUCUAAUUUUCUCAAUUAGUACUUUACUAGACAUUAUAAGUUGUUACACAACUAUUGAAAUUCAGAAUUUCCACAUAUAACUCUAUCUUCAAACUCUUUUACUAUUAGGUCCCAAACAUUCACUUUCUAUUCAAUUCUUUCAAUAAAAUCAGCAUAUGAACAAUUUAAAGCUCUAAUUUCAUGCUAAAUCAUCAUAUACUUCCAGCACAUAUUCAUAUAAACUUUCAACUUCUUUCAUAAAAUCAAAAACUAAUGAAUUUAACAAGUGGACCUAGUUGUAAAAGUCAUAAAAAUACAAAAAUUUCAAGAAAUAGUCAAGAAUUGAACUUACUUGUAAUAAAAAUAUGAAGAACCAGCUUGAAGAAGCCCUUCCAUGGUGUUUUAGCUGAUGAGAAUUCAGA
rnacentral:lncRNA from 1 species